GUCGAGCGCGGGAAGCAACUGAAUCCUUCGGGAGGACGUUUGUGGAACGAGCGGCGGACGGGUGAGUAACACGUGGGCAACCUGCCUGUAAGACUGGGAUAACUCCGGGAAACCGGGGCUAAUACCGGAUAACUCAUCGGAUCGCAUGAUCCGAGGUUGAAAGAUGGCUUCUUGCUAUCACUUACAGAUGGGCCCGCGGCGCAUUAGCUAGUUGGUGAGGUAACGGCUCACCAAGGCCACGAUGCGUAGCCGACCUGAGAGGGUGAUCGGCCACACUGGGACUGAGACACGGCCCAGACUCCUACGGGAGGCAGCAGUAGGGAAUCAUCCGCAAUGGACGAAAGUCUGACGGUGCAACGCCGCGUGAGUGAGGAAGGCCUUCGGGUCGUAAAACUCUGUUGUUAGGGAAGAACAAGUUCCGUUCGAAUAGGGCGGAGCCUUGACGGUACCUAACCAGAAAGCCACGGCUAACUACGUGCCAGCAGCCGCGGUAAUACGUAGGUGGCAAGCGUUGUCCGGAAUUAUUGGGCGUAAAGCGCGCGCAGGCGGUUCCUUAAGUCUGAUGUGAAAGCCCACGGCUCAACCGUGGAGGGUCAUUGGAAACUGGGGAACUUGAAGACAGAAGAGGAGAGCGGAAUUCCACGUGUAGCGGUGAAAUGCGUAGAUAUGUGGAGGAACACCAGUGGCGAAGGCGGCUCUCUGGUCUGUGCUUGACGCUGAGGC
rnacentral:rRNA from 1 species